CAUGCAGUCGAGCGGUAGCACAGAGAGCUUGCUCUCGGGUGACGAGCGGCGGACGGGUGAGUAAUGUCUGGGAAACUGCCUGAUGGAGGGGGAUAACUACUGGAAACGGUAGCUAAUACCGCAUAACGUCGCAAGACCAAAGUGGGGGACCUUCGGGCCUCAUGCCAUCAGAUGUGCCCAGAUGGGAUUAGCUAGUAGGUGGGGUAACGGCUCACCUAGGCGACGAUCCCUAGCUGGUCUGAGAGGAUGACCAGCCACACUGGAACUGAGACACGGUCCAGACUCCUACGGGAGGCAGCAGUGGGGAAUAUUGCACAAUGGGCGCAAGCCUGAUGCAGCCAUGCCGCGUGUGUGAAGAAGGCCUUCGGGUUGUAAAGCACUUUCAGCGGGGAGGAAGGCGGUGAGGUUAAUAACCUCAUCGAUUGACGUUACCCGCAGAAGAAGCACCGGCUAACUCCGUGCCAGCAGCCGCGGUAAUACGGAGGGUGCAAGCGUUAAUCGGAAUUACUGGGCGUAAAGCGCACGCAGGCGGUCUGUCAAGUCGGAUGUGAAAUCCCCGGGCUCAACCUGGGAACUGCAUUCGAAACUGGCAGGCUAGAGUCUUGUAGAGGGGGGUAGAAUUCCAGGUGUAGCGGUGAAAUGCGUAGAGAUCUGGAGGAAUACCGGUGGCGAAGGCGGCCCCCUGGACAAAGACUGACGCUCAGGUGCGAAAGCGUGGGGAGCAAACAGGAUUAGAUACCCUGGUAGUCCACGCCGUAAACGAUGUCGAUUUGGAGGUUGUGCCCUUGAGGCGUGGCUUCCGGAGCUAACGCGUUAAAUCGACCGCCUGGGGAGUACGGCCGCAAGGUUAAAACUCAAAUGAAUUGACGGGGGCCCGCACAAGCGGUGGAGCAUGUGGUUUAAUUCGAUGCAACGCGAAGAACCUUACCUGGUCUUGACAUCCACAGAACUUUCCAGAGAUGGAUUGGUGCCUUCGGGAACUGUGAGACAGGUGCUGCAUGGCUGUCGUCAGCUCGUGUUGUGAAAUGUUGGGUUAAGUCCCGCAACGAGCGCAACCCUUAUCCUUUGUUGCCAGCGGUCCGGCCGGGAACUCAAAGGAGACUGCCAGUGAUAAACUGGAGGAAGGUGGGGAUGACGUCAAGUCAUCAUGGCCCUUACGACCAGGGCUACACACGUGCUACAAUGGCAUAUACAAAGAGAAGCGACCUCGCGAGAGCAAGCGGACCUCAUAAAGUAUGUCGUAGUCCGGAUUGGAGUCUGCAACUCGACUCCAUGAAGUCGGAAUCGCUAGUAAUCG
rnacentral:rRNA from 1 species